rnacentral:rRNA from 1 species
GAUGAACGCUAGCGACACGCUUAACACAUGCAAGUCGAGGGGCAGCAUAGAAGUAGCAAUACUUUGGUGGCGACCGGCGCACGGGUGAGUAACGCGUAUGCAACCUACCUAUCAGAGGGGAAUAACCCGGCGAAAGUCGGACUAAUACCGCAUAAAACAGGGGCACCGCAUGGUGAUAUUUGUUAAAGAAAUUCGCUGAUAGAUGGGCAUGCGUUCCAUUAGGUAGUUGGUGAGUUAACGGCUCACCAAGCCGACGAAGGAUAGGGGAACUGGGGGGUUGGUCCCCCAAACUUGUACUGGGACACCGACCAGAAUCCUACGGGAGGCAGCAGUGAGGAAUAUGGGUCAAUGGGUGGGAGCCUGAACCAGCCAGGUGGCGUGAAGGAAGAAGGAUCUAUGGUUCGUAAGCUUCUUUUGCAGGGGAAUAAAGUGCGGGACGUGUCCUGUUUUGUAUGUACCCUGAGAAUAAGGAUCGGCUAACUCCGUGCCAGCAGCCGCGGUAACAC